rnacentral:rRNA from 1 species
UACGGAGGGUGCAAGCGUUAUCCGGAAUCACUGGGUUUAAAGGGUGCGUAGGCGGUUUUAUAAGUCAGAGGUGAAAGCAUGCAGCUUAACUGUAUAAUUGCCUUUGAUACUGUAAGACUUGAAUAAGGUUGAGGUUGGCGGAAUGUGACAUGUAGCGGUGAAAUGCUUAGAUAUGUCAUAGAACACCGAUUGCGAAGGCAGCUGACUGGGCCUUUAUUGACGCUGAGGCACGAAAGCGUGGGGAGCGAACAGG